CGUAAGGCGCCGAAUGAGUCAUUAAAAAAAUUAACAUCAUCCGAUCCCUAGUCGGCAUAGUUUAUGGUUAAGACUACGACGGUAUCUGAUCGUCUUCGAUCCCCUAACUUUCGUUCUUGAUUAAUGAAAACAUCCUUGGCAAAUGCUUUCGCAGUAGUUAGUCUUCAAUAAAUCCAAGAAUUUCACCUCUGACAAUUGAAUACUAAUGCCCCCAACUAUCCCUAUUAAUCAUUACGUCGAUCCUAGAAACCAACUAAAAUAGAAUCAAACGUCCUAUUUCAUUAUUCCAUGCUAAUGUAUUCAAGCGCGAGCUUGCUUUAAACNC
rnacentral:rRNA from 1 species